AACUAGCAGAGUCACCAAGGGCACGAGUCCAUCUCACCACCUUGACUUGCUGACUGAUGCUCGUCUGCACUGCACAGAGGAAAUCAACUGACUGAGGAGUGUUUCUGGGUGAGGGAGAGAGGAGUCAUCAUCCAGGUAAAGUGACGUGGAUCAGUGGACACAUUUGUCUCCCCUUUAAAGGAGAUAGAGAGACGAUCCGAGUCAUCCCUAAAUAUGGGCAGGAUGUCAGUCUUGGACUGUCUAACCUGCCGGAGCAGCACUGAAUGACCACCACACAUGAGCAUGUUCCUGCAACAUUCAGCAGCUUUGCUUUUGUGUCAAAUGUCCAACAGCUGGAGAGGAAACUAAACCAGUACUGGGCUGUUUCACCAACACGUGCCAAAUGCUGUUCCUUCAUGGUGACAUCAACAGAGACAGCCCCGCCCACCUCAUGAUCUCGCCAUUGAUCAUGAUGAUUAUAAUGAUGACAGCGAGCGGAACUAAGACUGUAAAAAUCCACGACCAGAAUGUUUAUAUGCUUUCUAAUUAUUAAUGAAUACUGAGAGCCUCUUUCUGUGUUUUGUCUGUUUUGGGUUGUUUUUUUACCUCAUUUGUUACUAACAAAGUUCACUAAACUCACACAGUUUACAUUCUGUAUGUUUCCAUCUUUACCAGCCACACUCUGCCUGCAUUUAGAAAACAAACCUUAGAAAUCGUCGUUUUUCUCUUUUGUAA